rnacentral:lncRNA from 1 species
GACAAAACUGAGGGACCUUCUACAGGAAAUGACGUCAGACAUCAGUGACCAAAACACAAUGGCAGCUUUCUCAUCUGUUGGCUCCAAAUGUGACGAGAGGCUACAAGGCACAAUCAAAAACACCAUGAGAGCAACAGAGAAUGAUAAACCUUGUGAUCCACUCAGAGAAACAGUGGUAAAGGAGGACUCCAAAUCUGACACAAUAAUUAAACACGACUCUGAUGAUCCUGUUCGGAGUUCACCUCAUUUAUGGUCUUACCUCACAAGUCCUGCCAGAACAGAGCCUGUAAUCGGCUUAAAUAUGGUAACAGAGUUCCGCAGUUUCUCUGGUCAGAACUCUUUCCUGUGCUCAUGCUGUAAUUCAAUGCUGUCCACCAGGAGUUAUGUAGGCCAUUUGAUCGGCCCACGCCACCGCUUCAACUACAUGAAAGAUAAACACCCACAUCUAGUGGAAAAGUGGACAGACCAAGUCAGCUUGACCUCUAAAAUCUCAGAGCUCAAGGAAAAAGCACAAAUUGUGCAGGAUCUCGAAGGCUGGGGACACUUCAAGGUUUUUAUUGCUAUUGUAACUGUAAUGAGCUUUAAAAAGCUUCAUUUUUAUAAUCUAUAAAAAGAUAUUGUCAUAUUGUUAAGAAAAUGUUUUGUGAAAUGUUCUUGAGGUUGUGGAGAAGGACUCUCCAAAACAGAAGGAGCAGACUGCAACAAGUAAGAACAAAUAGAAAACUUUUUUUUUUACGUUUUUUUGUGUAUUAGUAAUGUAAUAGUAAUGUAUAAUGUGAUAUAUAUUAAUAAUCUGUUUAUAUAAUGCCCACAGGAACAGAUGGAAAUUUUAGUGUUUUUAACAGCAAAGAACUGAUUCUACCCCAAUGGAGUAAAGGAAAUAACUCCGAACGGUUAAGCUCAACUCUGCAAAUAUGGGCAAACAAAGGCAUAACUAGAGGGAAACGAGCAGCAUCAGGGGGGAGGGAUAGUCAGGCUUACACCUUUAUUAUUCCUUCUCUUUACUUUUUAAAGGUCUCAUUCCAUCUGUUGCAUACACAUAGAAUAAUUAUCUAUAUUCUGUUGGUUUAUGAAGCCUCACCAAUAGUCUAACAUUAAUUCCUCACUAGGUGUAUUUACUGCAGCGUAUGAAGCUUUUAGUUUCUUGUUCCCAUUUCCCUUCCGCCUUAAAACACAUUUCCAUUCCACCUUAGCAGUUUACCUGCAUUAAAACAAAUAUUAUCUAUGUUAAAUCACAGUUCCCUUUUUAGACUGUAGUAGAUAAUAAAUUGUUUUAAGAGUUUUAUACA